rnacentral:snRNA from 1 species
AAGAUUCUGUGCUCGCUUCUAUACCAAAAUUGAAACGAUACAUUAGCGUGGCCCCUGCACAAGGAUGACAUGCAAAUUCGUGAAGCGUUCCACACUUUU